GUGUCCAUGCCCUUGUGCUUUCUUCUCAAGUUCUUUGUUCAUUUAACAAAGAAACAAGCACUAGUGUUUGCAUUGACUAAGGGUUGUUCAAAGCAACUCUUAUUUCUUCAUACAACGAUUUGUAAGUGAAGAACUAACAACACUAAAAGUGUCCUUGUCAUUAUGCUAAUCUUCGUAAGUUCCUUUGUUCAUAUAACGAAGGAAUAAGCAUUGGUUGUUUGUGUUGUCCUUUUACAUGAUAGACUUAUCUAACAUGUUCUUCCAAUGUUACAUUACCAAUAGGAAGAAUUUGAGGAUUAGACUACUUAGGUACAUAUACAAUCCAUUUAAGACAAUCUUUGGGAUUUUUGUACCAAGUCCGGAAACUAAAGCAUUCGGCUUUUCUUUGUCAAGUUUUGGAUAGAGUUUGCAAAUAUAUUGGUAAACAAAUACAUAAUGAAUAUAAAUUGAUUGAUUUUAAGCCAUUUGAUUCGGGUCUUUAAAUCAAAUAGCACCACCCACUAUUUUUGGC
rnacentral:lncRNA from 1 species